rnacentral:rRNA from 1 species
GAUGAACGCUGGCGGCGUGCCUAAUACAUGCAAGUCGAGCGAACAGAUGAGGAGCUUGCUCCUCUGACGUUAGCGGCGGACGGGUGAGUAACACGUGGAUAACCUACCUAUAAGACUGGGAUAACUUCGGGAAACCGGAGCUAAUACCGGAUAAUAUAUUGAACCGCAUGGUUCACUAGUGAAAGACGGUUUUGCUGUCACUUAUAGAUGGAUCCGCGCCGCAUUAGCUAGUUGGUAAGGUAACGGCUUACCAAGGCAACGAUGCGUAGCCGACCUGAGAGGGUGAUCGGCCACACUGGAACUGAGACACGGUCCAGACUCCUACGGGAGGCAGCAGUAGGGAAUCUUCCGCAAUGGGCGAAAGCCUGACGGAGCAACGCCGCGUGAGUGAUGAAGGUCUUCGGAUCGUAAAACUCUGUUAUUAGGGAAGAACAAAUGUGUAAGUAACUAUGCACGUCUUGACGGUACCGAAUCAGAAAGCCACGGCUAACUACGUG